rnacentral:rRNA from 1 species
GCUACUUGCAUCAUUGUACAGAUGAUGCNNGAUCGACUAUGUCGAAUAAAAUUCUAGGUAGAAUUAUGAUAAUGACAUUGUCUGCCUAUGUGUCUUGACCAAAUUACGUGCCAGCAGUCGCGGUAAUACGUAGAAGACUAGUGUUAUUCAUGUUUAAUCGGUUUAAAGGGUACCUAGACGGUAGAUCAAGCUUUUACAUAUAAAUUAUGUUAAUUAAAGGACUAAUUUGCUAGAGUUACUUACGAGGGGGUAUUAAAGUACUGCUGGUGUAGAGAUGAAAUUCUGUCAUACCUCUUUUCGAAAGAAAAAUCAUGGCACAGGUAUAGGCGAAGGCAUCCCCUUAUGUGAUAACUGACGUUGAGGGACGAAGGCUUUGUGUAACAAACAGGAUUAGAUACCCUAGUAGUUGAAGCAGAAAAUGAUGAAUGUCAUAGAUUAGAUAUAUAAGUUUAUUCUAUAAAUGANAGUGUAAGCAUUCCACCUCAGGAGUAAUUUGGCAACAUUGGAAUUGAAAUCAUUAGACCGUUUCUGAAACCAGUAGUGAAGUAUGUUGUUUAAUUUGAUGAUCCGCAAAAAACCUUACCACAAUUUGAAUAUUUAUAUUUUUUUUUAUUGUUUUCUUCUUAAUUUUCUUCUNAUAACAUAUUCAACAUGUAAAAAGAAGAAAGUUAAUAAAGAGGCAAUAAUAUAUAUUUACAAGCGUUGCACGGCUG